rnacentral:rRNA from 1 species
GCAGCUACCCAGCAAUGGGAUGCGAAUCUCGAAAGCCUGUCUCAGUUCGGAUUGGAGGCUGAAACCCGCCUCCACUGAAGUUGGAUUCGCUAGUAAUCGCGCAUCAGCCAUGGCGCGGUGAAUACGUUCCCGGGCCUUGUACACACCGCCCGUCAAGCCAUGGGAGCCGGGGGUGCCUGAAGUUCGUGACCGCAAGGAGCGACCUAGGGCAAAACUGGUGACUGGGGCUAAGUCGUAACAAGGUAGC